rnacentral:rRNA from 13 species
CUGAAAGCAUCUAAGCGGGAAACUCGUCUCAAGAUGAGUCUUGCCGGGGCCUUGAGCCCCCUGAAGGGUCGUUCGAGACCAGGACGUUGAUAGGCUGGGUGUGGAAGCGCAGUAAUGCGUUAAGCUAACCAGUACUAAUUGCCCGUGAGGCUUGACC